GGGACAUUCGAUCUUCAUGUGUGAUCGAAAAUUUGUUAGAACACUAGUUCAGUCCUCGAACUCCUAGACAACGUUAUAUUGCAUGCUCAAUUACUUAGAGAUUGGAUUCGGCAUGUUAGAAACCUGCGAACUGGAGCAAAGGAGAUCUUCCUCGAUUUAUUUGCUAUAUUUGCAGCAAGAUUUUGAGAGGCCCCUAAAAACAUUUGUUUUGUAUCGUUGUGAGAUAGUGAAGCCAACGCCAGCCGCCGAGUUGCUUAUUUUGCUGGAGGGGUUGAAUUUGUACCACCCGUUAUCUGAACAGAAAAUGUUUAGCCUACACUUGUGGCCACCCCAGAGUGGAGAUUAAGGCCAGCACUCUA
rnacentral:misc_RNA from 1 species